ensembl:snRNA U1 U1 spliceosomal RNA
GUAGUUACCUGGCAGGAAAGAUAUCAUGCUCAAGAAGGUGGUUUUCCUAAGGUGAGGCUCAUCCAUUGUACUUAAGGUGUGUUGACUCCCGCAAUUUCCCCAAAUACAGAAAAUUCAACUGCAUAAUUUGCUGUAGUGGGGGACUUUGUAGCAUGAAUUUCUA